GCGUGAGUGAAGAAGGCCUUAGGGUUGUAAAGCUCUUUCACCCGCGAAGAUGAUGACGGUAGCGGGAGAAGAAGCCCCGGCUAACUCCGUGCCAGCAGCCGCGGUAAUACGGAGGGGGCUAGCGUUGUUCGGAAUUACUGGGCGUAAAGCGCACGUAGGCGGUCCACAUAGUUAGGCGUGAAAGGCCUGGGCUCAACCUGGGAACUGCGCUUAAUACUGGUGGGCUAGAGUCCGAGAGAGGGUAGUGGAAUUCCCAGUGUAGAGGUGAAAUUCGU
rnacentral:rRNA from 1 species